rnacentral:lncRNA from 1 species
AUUGAAGAAUUUCAACACUGAAGGCUAUCCUAAUUAAAUGUGCACACCUCAUAGUAAUUUCUUUCUUUCCAGAAGGAGGCUACAAGAGAGAACAGCAAAUUAAGAAUGCAUAAAUCUGGAAGCAUUAAAUCAAAGGAAGUAUCAAUCCUGACUUCAUGUUCAGAGCACCAGCUACGGUGGACUUGGAGCUCAUAGAGCUACCUACAAACAUCCCAUGAUUCCAGUUGAAGGCUU